UAUUAUUUUACAGGGAAGUACUGAAUAAAUCUCUGAAAUCAGCAAUAAAUGUUUGAUUUCCAACCAGGCUCAUGCCCUGUCAGAUUUCAUAUAUUGGAAUGGCCUAACAAUUAAGAAAAGAAUAUGUGCAAGGGAUUCUGCAUGCCAGAACACAGUACUAAAACAAAACAAGAAUGCAAAGUUGAGUCUGUGUGAACCUAUAUGGCAAAAUGAUGAUAACAAGUAAUUUUCCUGUGCUAUAAUUUAUGAUCCCUACUUUAUUUUCUUAGGUGAUAGGUAGGGUAGUGUCUACAAAUAUUACUAAUCGAUAUUUUCUGUGACUCUGAAGAUCAUGAUGGAAUGUACAGUGCCCUAGGUAUCCCCACAAUAAAUCUCCCAGGGUAGAGGAAAGAGCAGGAUUUCGCUAGUCUCUGCAGAUACUAAAGACUUAAGAAAAUUAUCUUCCUUGCCCAUAGAGCAGAUCUUCAAGCCUGACACACAGAUGCCAUAUCGUUAAGGGAAGAAGUAACUUGAGAAGAAGAAAAGGGCAGGAUUCCUCUAGUCUCUGCAAGAUAGGAACAUAUCAAGUGAAUUCAUACUAACAGAGGGAGGCCUCAUCUUUAAAGACAAGCAGUAUAUGCAGAAGCAGGAUCUGCUUGCUGCACAUUUGGCAGGAUUAGGUGAAUCAGGGCUGUAAUGGUGGGAAUCAAACAAUGUCUGACUUUGCGAAUUUCCAAGGGUUCCUUUUCUUGUGCAUGUUAGGAUCAAUCAACUUUGUCUAGGUCAAUAUACAAUAGGGUUUUGGUUAUACCCAUGAGCACCUGAGACCCCAAAUAUAGCCAGAGCCUGACAGGUAAGAACCUGCUCUGCUGACAACUGCAUUAGCUCUCCUUGCCUCUGAACAGGGAGGCUGUGCAUUCCAUUUGUGUCUGGAAUAGGAACCUGUUAGAGCCCAUUUACCCAGGAAGUUUGCAUAGAGAGGAUUAUUGGACCAUGGACCUGAGUGAAGUUGUCUAAGAUUGUAUACAAUAUGCAGUGCUGGGGGGAGGUCUUUUCCUCCACCCCUUUGCAUUUCUUUAAAUACCCUAUGCCUCACGGAUUUAAAUCCAGGCAAUCUGGAGGCUAAUCUGUUAUUUCUGUCUGUUACUCCCACCUCCUUAUCUUUCUACCUAGUAUUUCCUGCUGCUUCUAAGCAAGAGUACUCUGGGGAAAUGUGGGAUUCAGCAAUGCCCCUUGUAUAGGAACCAAUCAGGAGAGUGAUCUCAAAUCUACCAAUGGAAAGCAAAUCCUGUGGUACUCUUUGAGAUCUGCUUCAGAGCUGCUGAGUCAUUUCAUCCUCUCAAGUAAAUGUGUGCUGCAGCGCUGCAGCUAUAAAAACGAAACUGAAAAUGGAUGGCUGGAAAAAAGGUAAUGUAUACUAGGACCAGAAUGACAUUCCCAAAUGAGAAAAGCAUGCCAUGGUAAGUAGGGGGUGAUCAUGCUUCCAGCUACUUGGCCCUGGAUGUAUUCUUGAAAGCCUUGCUUUCCAUCUGCCGAUGGUUGAUUGUGGUUUUUGGCUUACAACUGUACCUUUCAGGUAACAGUUUCCGAUAUGCUAUUUUAGAUUCCCCAAAUGCACUUUAUGUGGAAUUUGACACUUGAAAUUUUCACAGAAUCCCAGGUGGCUGUGAGAAUAUUCCCUGACUCAGUCGUUUUUUAAAUGGGUCUACUGUGGGAGCAAAUGAUCAAUAUAUCCCUGUUUUAUGUCAGGUAUUUUACCCAACAUAAAACUUCUUUGCCAACAAUGUGAUAAUGCACAAUUCUAGACUGAGGCAGAGAUCACAGAUACUAAGAUGAAGCAGUGGCUUUAGUGUCACAUUUCCUGCACAGUACACAGGUGCAGGUGACUCGGAGCAGGAGUGUUAGGAAUCCUCACAUUUCCCUGCCUAUCUCUAGGUAUAUAUUUCCUUUGUCUUUUGCAGCUCUCGGGGACAGUAUUCGUUCUCUGGAGGUGUUUUCAACUGAACUCCUGCCUAAUUUCAGCUGCAAGCUGGAAUUUAGCCAGGAGCCCGGCUGGUAAAACCCUUCAGUGCAGGCAUUUUUAUUUCAUUGGACUGCCUCCUAUUUGAAUAGACAUAGAUUAGGAACCAAUAAGGUGUGAGAUCUCAAAUCCAGGAAUAGAAAGCAAAUGACAUCAGUGAAUUUAGUGAUCUCCAUCAGAGCUGCUGACUCAUUUAUCCUCCCUGCCUCCUGUGUUCUUAAAGAAGCACAGAAACUGAAAGGGGAGCACAGGAUAAAACGUAAUUUAACCAGGGUUCUGACUCCAACAAACAGUACAAAACUGUCUGAUGUUGGUUCGUGGGCUGAGUGAGUUUUCAGCUGCUUUGUACUAAAAUCUACCUAUCUACAAGACAGGCUCCAUUCCUCUCUGCACGUUUCUGAUUGUGACACUGGGCUGCCAAGUGCAUCUGACAGCACUCUCUGUGGUCCUUUUGUUUCCGUUUUUUCUGUUUUUUGUUUGUUUGUUUGUUUUUUAGAAAUUGGGUUUCUCUGUUUAGCUUUUGUGCCUGUCCUGGAUUUCCUUCUCUAGAACAUGUUGGCCUCUAGCUCACCAAGUUUAGCCUGGCUCUGCCUCCCAAGUCCUAGCAUUGCUUUAUGAACUGCUGCCUUGCAGGUCUUCAAAUGGCUGACCCUAAACUUUACAGACAUAAUUCAGCCCUUCCCUCUAUGUAACAGAACUAUAGGGUUAUUCCCUAGGUGCCCAAGGGCAUCAUCUUGCCCCCAUUUGCACGUGUAGCAUACCUGUCAAUAAAACUAGACCUCACCACACAGGGAUGGGCACCUUGCAUUCGUGCUUUAGCAGCUGCUGUGCUCCUUAUUUGGGAAUCAAAGAACCUAAACAUUGAGGCACUCAUGUGAUAGGACUGAAGGUUAAUCAGCAUGUUAUGGACAAAAUGAUGAGGAAAAAAAUUUCUCACUCUAAUGAGCUACAUACCCUUAAAGAUAAAAUAGUGAGCAACUCCCAAAUAACAUUUUGUCAUAGUGACCAAAUAAUCAGGGGAGGACUCAAGUAAUUAUUCAAGAAAAAAUGGAAUAGGUUUGUUUAUUAUUAUCAAAUGAAGUAUUAAAUGCCUGUCUGCCAUCAUCAAUAAAUAACUGACUUUCAAUGAAGUUAAUGCCCUCUUUUCUUUCAUAUAUACAAAUGGACUGAGAAUUAGGAAAAUCAAGUACAAGAGACUCUUUAUGCAAGAACCCCAUGAUAAUGCACACCAAAAACGCAAAGUUGAUCCUGUAAUUCCGUAAAAGACAUCAGGAUAUUAACAAUGUCUCUAUGGUUCAUGAAUAAAACAACAAUGCCAUAGCCAUUUCCACAAUAAAUCGCCCAGGGAAGAGGAAACAGCAGAUUUCACUAGUCUCUGCCAGAUACUAAAGCCUCAAGAAAAUCAACUUCCUUGCCCAUAGAGCAGGACAUCAAAACUGGCACAGGGAUGCUAUAUCCUUAAGGAAAGCAGUAGCUUCAGAAGACGGGAAGAGCAGGACUCCCCUAUCUGAUGCCAGAUCCUAAAGCCUGAAGACCAACAUACAGGCAAUUUCUUACCCUGCAUAAUGGACAACUGAGGUACUCAAGUCUUUACCCACCGACAGUCAUGUCAUACCAAAACCUAGAGAAGCCAUUAUUGUACAGGAAUGAUCUAUUUCCUUCCUUUGGACACUGGAGGCCAUUACUGCAUCUUGUGCAAGUUUUGGGGUCUUACCUGUCAUUCCAAUAUCCCUGUUAUCUGGGUUGUGGGACAGCCUUACUUACCUCACCAAACACCAUGACUUAAAUAUAUUUUCAUGGGUAUAUCUUUUACACACAUUUUUGUUUAUGGAAACCUGCCCUGUGCACCUAAUGGGAAGAGAUUUUUUUAGCUAAGGCACAGACAUCUAUUUCAUUUGUGCCCACAUUUCCCUACCACAGAUUUGUCAGCAGCUCCUCUCCUCCUCCUCCCCUUUGACACUCAGCCCUCUAUCUCUGACAUGUCAUUUCCCUUUCCAUCUCUAAUAUGGACUCCAAUGUCAUGGAUGGCCAGACUCCUUCUAUUGCUAGAAUCCAUCACUCUAUUGUUAUCAAGUUCCAGCACCCUACCUGGUACAUCACUCAAACUCAGUACACUCUUUCACUCCAGAGCCCUAGAGGACUUAAACCUAUCAUCCCUGAACUUCUCAGAAAGAAGCUACUUCAUCCAAACACUUCUCCUUUUAACACCUCUAUAUUUAGAGUAAGAAUCCUAAUAGAAUAUACCACCCGAUUUAGACCUGCAUGUAUUCAAGUUUCUAAAUGGUCUCUUUAAAUGAAAAACACAGUGCCAAAUAUAGGGUUGGAAAACUUAGAGAUCAGGAAAAUUGGAAAAGUCACAAGCAAACCUAACCUCACCAACCCUGCAGCUUCCAAAUGCAGCUACUUGCUGUCUUACACAUGCUUUCAUUAUCUUGCUCUUAUGCCCUUUAAUUGGCUACAUUGGCCAAUUAAAAUAUAAUUAAUAGUGAAUCAAAGAAAUUAAAUUUUGGGUCACCUAAUCCAUCACCUUCCCACCAUAAUUUGUUCCAUCUUUUAACUUAUAAAGUCUUGCAAACUUUUUCAACUUCCGUGUUUUUAUCUCUCCAAGUAUUAUUACUGGAAGAUGCCACACUUACUUUCCAGACUUGUCCACUUGUUAAAAUUUCAAUCCUUCUUCCUCGAACGAGUGUUGACUAUUCCACAUCUCACUACUGCACUUAAAUCCUAAAGGAAUUUUUGCCUCAUCCUUCACACAUACAGGAGUGCACAUUGCCUCAGGCCAUUUAUACCGGGUACACAGAUGGUUGCUCCUUUUUACACGAUUGGACACAAAGCAGGAUAUGCCAAAGUGUCAGAUACAGGGGUGUUAGAAUCAAAGACAUACACUACUAACCAACAGGUUGAGCUAAUGUCUCUCAACUGUACCUUCUAGUUGGCACAUGGGCUAUUCCUAAAGGUUAUACGUACUCCAAAUAUGCUUUUUAUUUUUCUUUUCAAGACAGAUAACUCUGUGUAUUUUUUGUGCCUGUCCUGAAUUUCGCUUUGUAGACCACACUAGCUUUGAACUCACAGACAUCUGCCUGGGUCUGACUCCCAAGUGCUGGUAUUAAAGGCAUGUGCCACCACCACCAGCUUAACCAUUAAAUUCUGAUAGCAGAGUUCUAAAAUAUAAAUGAAAAUGAAGAUUUUAAAUUUCCUGUGAUUGACCCUUACUAUGUUUGAAAAUACUUGGAAGCUACAAAGUCACCUUCGAACUACAUGGACAUGGCAGAAACACUUCAGAUCUGAAUCAUUCAGAGUUUUCUGAUAUCAGGUCCCUCCUUGCACCAUCUGGGACCCCUUUUGGGACUCCUCCAAUAAUGUUUUUAAUAAAUUACCUCUUUAGCCUGCCAGUACCUUGUCAGAUUAUCACAGCAAGAUCCAAGAAGCAAAGGAAUAGUCCAAAGAUCAUACACUGUAGAACACAAUUAACUACCACAGAAAGUCCAGCUACCUCAAAAAUGUCCCCUUCUAUACCCACAAAAGUUAAACUUUGCACACUGCCUCAGAUGAAAGCAUUUCUGGGAGAAAGUCUGUCCCCACUCCCAUUCACCUGUAUCCCCUAACCCACUUAUUUUUUAAUAAGAAAAACAAAUCUGGAUUGUUAUUCUUCCUAGCCACACUCCCAUCUCCAUAAAAACAUGCACAGUCCAGCAGCCAGGAAAGAUGUUUCGUCACCAGAGGACCUUAUGUCCUAAGUAAUACAUUCAUUGCUUGGUCACAUAAUUUGCGAGCAACAUGAACAUGUAACCUGUCUAGGCACAUGCAUGGCAUAGCUGCAUAGGCCCAUAUGCCCAUGCUGAGUAGUCCCAUAAAGACAGGUUCCACCAAUUCCUCUGCACCCUAUCCACAAAGGUUAUGUCCAUAAUCCAAUGCACCUUUUCCCUUUUCCCAUUGCCUAAUAAACUCUGAUAGUGGGUUUCAAUGUACCUCAAGUAUCUCUCAAAGGGUAAACUGUGCUGAAAAAUAAAUAGCAGAUAGGAAUGAGCAGGACCCUCCAAGUGUCUGUCAGAUUCGUAAAUCUGUAAUGAUUUGUCUUACUUACAGAUACAUAGUACUUCAGGACAGACACAUGGAUGUCAUUUAUUUUGUUUUAUUUUUAUAGCUGUCGGGAAAGGCUAAGAACAAAUACACUAAUGGCAGCCUAUGUUCUAAAGCAUGUAGAUUAAAUGGUGUUUAUAAGCUGUUGGCAGUUUGCUAUUCACUGUCCGCAUGGACCACCAACCUCCCAGAGCUGCAGCAGUAAUCAUGGCUCCCUGAUAGCGAAGCCAUGAAGCUAGGCUCUCAGCAAAACAAGGAUGAAAAGUCAACCACAAAUGAUGGGUGCCAACCCAUACACUAAGCUGAGCCCUGUUAAUGUGCAACUUUCAUAAGUUUUUAGGAUUUGUCCCAUGAGGUCAAAAACAAUACAGAUAUUCAGUAAAAAAAAUAUUCCCAUAAAAAUAAUCUAGACAUGUAACAGUGUGCUUAAAAUUAUACCACAUACCAGUGUCUCUGUUGUUCUUUUGUAAUCCACACACACAUCAUAAAAGAGAAAUAUUGAGGUGUCUCUUGUACAUAAAAGCACAGAAUUUGGGAAAAUUAUGUGCAAUCAAUGUUGUUCUUAACCAGGGAUGUCACUUUAACAAUUGUUUCCCUAGAAGGAUUUUAAUAACAGUCCCUUCAGCCACUGAUAGAUCUAUUAUGUUCAAUUAUAAUCAUUCUGUUUUAUUAUGGAGAAACUGCAGGUAACAGGACUACAAUACAACAAGGUAAUGUUGAUGAUUUUACCAGCUCUUUCAAAUGUCACAAAUUACCAACAUUUAGCCCUCCAUAGCGUAUUGCUAGUUUCUUAUGCAAACACAUGUCUGAAGUUUACUCUCUAACUCUUUUCAGGAAAUAAGAAAUAUCUCACUGACAGGAACACAAAAAUCUGGCCAAUAUAAUAAGUUAGCAUGGUGCACAUUGCCAGGGAGACAGUAGACCCAGAAGGCUAUCAUUCAUCUGCAACUUCUCUGAAAUCAUAAGUUUUUCAGACAUUCUUCUUAAUAUUCAUCCUUAUAAUCACAGGCAACAUUGGCUGUGACUGCCAGAAAAAAAAGCAUCAUUUACAUCACUAUUACACAACUCCACAACUUCUCAAAUGGCAUAGAACUUGUAAUGUCUUGUCUCAGGCCACAUAUUCAAACCAGAACACUCACCAUUAUUCUUAGAAUAAGAAAAUAUUAAAUGCAAAGGUCACAUACAGUUCUUAUUAAAGGAAAAGGAUGUCUGCUGUGAAGACAUUGUUUUCUAAGAAUGACAGGGAAUUAAAAAAAAGAAGCAUAAAUAUUGCAAAAUUUGAGCACCAACAAAUUACUACAUGAAAGCAAGGAAACAAUCAAAAAUGGUUAGUACAAAGAAAUCAUAAAUUGUAAUUCCAACACAGAUGGGAAACUCUCUCAAAUUUCCACACUUAACUGAAAAUCCAUGUGACAUUGGCUGGGGCUUAUUCUCCUCCUCUGAUCUUUCAAAAUUCACUCUAAAACUGACACUGAGUUUUUUAUUAAUAAGAACUUUUAAGAUUCAUGUUAUAUCUGGUUCCCAAUUUGGGCCUCGAACACACAACCCUGAGUUUAAGAAUCUCCUGUGACUGGGGCUGUUCCAGGCUACAAAUGGUGCUGGUGAGACUUUGGAUGCUGCUGCUGCUCCGAUCUAUAAACUGCUUCUCAUCAUGUUGGUGUUGAUGGUGUUGCUGCUGUAGGAGAUUAAUGGUUUACUACUGCUUGCUCAGAGAAUAAUUGCCAGCCCCAUGAUGUUACAGGGAAGCAUUGACAAAGGUCAGUUUGGUGAAGUUUGGCGAGGCAAGUGGUGGGGAGAAAUGCUGUUAAGAUAUUCUCUUCUAUGGAAGAAGGUUCGUGGUUCCAAGAGACAGACUUUUAUCAGACUGUGAUUUCUUGAAACCACAGAGGAGGCACAAGAACAAAUAAAACAAAGAAAAGAAAAAGAGAAUUUCUGUAGGAAAACAAGGCCAUGCCUAACAGCAAAUUUGAAAUCUUCAAAAGCAUGACAGGAUCCCACCAUGAUGAUUCCACAUGGAAUAUGAUAAAGCCAUUAAGCUGAUUAAUAUCACCCAAAGAUCAGCAUUGGACUACAAACUCCUCAGGACAAUUUCAAGUUGGCUAGCUGAGAUGAUCCAGAUUCACAGACAACUCCAUCAAGGACUUGAGACAAGCUCUGCACUUUUGCACUAUGCAGAGACUAGAUAACAAAUGUCACUGCUACCUUUCCCAGGACUUGACAAGUAACCCCUAAAUUUUUUUUCAGGAUCCCCAAAAGUUGUCUUCAC